CCAUUGUUCAGGUUCCACUAUGCUACCAAAUUUUAUGAUAAUAUUGUAUCUUCAUCUACAAUACCUUUUUCUCCUAGGGUUUGCUUACAAAUCAUAUUUCUAAGAUUAGAAACUUGUAUAAUUCUAUCUAUAUACACACACACAUGAAUGGAGAAAGUAUGUAUGAAUGUAUCUAUGUAUGUAGAUACAUAUGUAUGUACAUGUAUAACUAUCUAUACCUGCAUAUAGAUGCUUUUAUGCAGAUAUCAUCUACUCGCAUGAGAAAGUAUGCAUGAAUGUAUCUAUGUAUCUAGAUGCAUAUGUAUGUAUAUGUAUAACUAUCUAUACCUGCAUAUAGAUGCUUUUAUGCAGAUAUCAUCUACUUGUACACAUUAACAAUUCUUUCAUUUGUGUUUAAAAGAGUCACAUAUCAUAUCAUAUUACAUCAAAUUAAUGUCUGUAUUAUGACACA
rnacentral:lncRNA from 1 species